GGUCCUAGGGCGGGUGCUGCUGGAGACCCGCGCGCGGUCGUCAUUUCCUAACCCGCCUGCGGGCCCUGGCGCGUGCGCGGCGUCGGAGCAAGCGGCCCCUUCCUUCGGCCCCGCCCAGCCCCGCCGGCCGCCCGCUCCCUGGGGAACCGAGGGAGGAAUGGGCGGGGUCCUCAGGUCCUUCCAAAGUGCCUACGGAAAGCUUUGUCCCAUCCUUGAAAAAUUGCUAAUGGGUUUGGAGAUACGAGGUGGAGAUGACUAGCAAUCAAACUCAAAGGUGGAAGUCACAUCGAGGCAGAUGAGCAGAUGAGGGGACCUAGAGAAGAAGAGAGGUGCAAGGAGAGCCCAGCCAGCAGGAACAUCUGCCCCAGUAGGCAGCACUGCCCCACAUCAGAGUCGAGGAAAGCAAAGCUCGGAUUGGAUAAAAGAAACUUGCAAACACGGUCAGUGCUUACUGCAUGUGGGCUCAGAGCACGUUACCCUCCUUCCCUGCAUGUUCCUGUGAAACGGGUUUACUGCUCUAACUCUCAGGGACACUGUGAAGACCAAACGAGAAAAUAGAAACAAACAUAAUUUAUAAACCAUAAAGUACUGACACCAAAAGAGGGGCGAGCACAGCAUUGUGAAUGUGCUGGUACUAAAUGGUUUGUUUUAAGAUGAUUUUAUGGUGUGUGAAUUUCACUUGAAUAAAUUUUUUUAAUGGAGUUCA
rnacentral:lncRNA from 1 species